rnacentral:rRNA from 1 species
UACGUAGGGUGCGAGCGUUGUCCGGAAUUAUUGGGCGUAAAGAGCUUGUAGGCGGUUUGUCGCGUCUGCCGUGAAAAUCCGGGGCUCAACCCCGGACUUGCGGUGGGUACGGGCAGACUAGAGUGUGGUAGGGGAGACUGGAAUUCCUGGUGUAGCGGUGAAAUGCGCAGAUAUCAGGAGGAACACCUAUGGCGAAGGCAGCUCUCUGGGACGGUACUGACGCUGAGACGCGAAAGCGUGGGGAGCGAACAGG